AUGUUGGAGACGAUCCUCAUCGCGGUGAAAGCCAUCGAGACGGCGGUGGUAUUCGUCGCCAGAUCGGGGAGGACGGCGAGCGAGAUCAAGAUCAAGUGCCAGAACCUCUCCGACCGUGUGAAAACCCUGGAAACAAUCUUGUCCCACUACCGGAGGGCCAACCGCGACGGGCCGGCCAUGGCCACCGCGCUGGAUAGCCUCGGCGUUGCCCUCAGCGACGCGCUCAGGCUCGUCGAGUCCCACAAGAGCGCCGCCGUCGGCGAUUUGUUUCCCAAAUUCCGCAAGAGGGACCUCGACGAGCUCGUACACGCCGACCAGAAGAUCGAAAGCUGCAUCAGGGACCUCGAGCUCGCCCGCGAAGCUGAUGGCCAUCUUGCGAGAGCCGUGGCCCCAGCACCGCAGCGCAUCACCAUAAACAACUGCAUCAACGUGAUGGUCCUGGUCCAGUUCAAUCGACUAGGAGGAGGAGCCCCAAGUAGCUCUGCUCCCUCCUCACUGCCAAGUCUUCCUCCUCUUAGGAAGGCGGCCGUGGUGCCACCCGCAGAGGCGAGGAGAACCCACAGGGAGCAGAAGAACCACCCAGUGCAGCCAACCACGGAGACGACAAGAGAAACCCACAGAGAGCACAAGAACCACCCAGUGCGGCCACCCACGGAGACGACAAAAGAAACCCACAGAGAGCACAGGAACCACCCAGUGCGGCCACCCACGGAGACAAGAGAAACCUACAGAGAGCACAAGAACCACCCAGUGCGGCCACCCAUGGAGACGACAAGACAAACCCACAGAGAGCACAGGAACCACCCAGUGCGGGCAAGCCGCGACCUUCCCGAUUCAUCCCCGCAACGGCAACACCGUCCUCUUCGGGAGAUGGUCGACGGUGGAACCUCGCAUCACAACAACCCUGGAAGCACUCAAGCAACUGUAGCACGGGUACCACGUGCGCAAUACCGUGGUGUACCGGCGCGCGCCGUCGAUCGGCCGCCUCCCCGCGAAUCCCCUCCCCGCUGA
rnacentral:rRNA from 1 species